rnacentral:rRNA from 1 species
AUGCUGCUGCUGUUCGAGACGCCCUCAGGCUUCGCAAUUUUCAGUUUUCGCGCAGGGGUCAUUGAAAAACCAAAUGCCCUGGAGGAAAUAUGGACUCACUUCAUUCUGAUUGGGACGGCAAAGAGUGUUGUUCGGCUGAGAAACUUUCAAACUUUUGAGGACAAGUCCAGCGCCAUUAAUCAAAAGACCGGUGUUAAUGAAAGUCUUACUGAGAUGAUCAUGAAGUGCCACUUCCCUGGGCAGAGAAUGGCUGUUGGAAAGCCGGAAUAUAAAAAAAUCAUUGAAGAAAAUCUGAAAAUAACCUGCGUGUGA